ensembl:lncRNA
AGAGAGCCACUUCAGGCUGCUGUCUGCACGAGGGAGGUUUGAUCUUUCAAAACUUGCUUUGUCAGAAUCCCUUUGCAAGAGAAGAGCAGUGAUUAAUGUUGAUGCCAAUUGCUGGAGAGGCCAUGGAACACCUGCCACUGCUUUCUUCCCACCAGCCAGCAAAGGAGGAAGGUGACUCAGGGAGGUGGGUACUGUGAGUGUUGGCUUCGCUGCUCUUCAGUGGAUGCUUUGCAGGUCGUUAUUAUGGGGAUGGUGGUCCAUGUGGUCCAAUGGCUGUUCUACCUACAGCAGGGGCAGAAGCCCACUUGUGCAGCAGCACUCCAGAUCUGCCACGUUAGAAGUCCACAAAGACACAGCACCUUUCAGAAAAUGAGAGUUGUAAAGCCACAAGCGAGCAGCGUGAGCACCGUGCUCCUGAGGAAGAGAAACCUGUGUUUGGCUGUUGGUGCCUCUGGGAUGGAGGCUGGAGCCUGCCCUGAUGCAUCAAGGAAGAGUUCCCAUCCAGGCUGUGGGCAAUUGGGCACUGCCUUGGCCAGCGUGUGGCCCAACAUCAUGCUGCUGUGCCGAGGGAAUCGCUGCCCAGUGCCCCACGCUGGGUGCGCUCAGGCCAGCAAGAUGGAACAAGCCCUUUCCACAAUUUGGCUCCAUGGCACUUCAAAUGGGUUGAACAGUUUACCAAAACAGUGCUGGUCACCUGGUGACAAACAGGAACCUUGGUGGCUCCUCUAUGGCAGAGCAGGAAAAACACGGGAACUUUGGUGAAGACUGUUUAUAGCAAUAACCACUGCGCAAUGAAGAGACACCAAAGACUAUCAAUGAUUGAAUGGGGCUGGCGGUUCACUUUGUGAUGUAAAGGGAUAAGAAUGUGUUACUGGGAGGUGCAACUCCCGUAAACUCAAACAACGUCCAUGGAUGUACUGCUCAGAGCGCUUGGCCCGAGGCACAGGGGACAUGUCGGAUGGUGAAAGAUUAGGAAAAGCUACAAGCGGGGAGAGCUGAAAGUCUCCUCUCAGAAGCUUAUUGGGAUAUUUAAACAGUAAGUGACUGGAUUCUUAAAUGCAAAGUGGGAGAAAGUGGCAUUGUGAAACUGCAUUGCAAAAUCCUAUUAAGUCAAAGUUGCAAACAGCUACGCAACUGUCUGUUGUGUCGGAGCAGGAAGCCUGGGCACCAUUUUAAUGAGUCAUGAUCAAACAUCAUGCUGUCAUCUCAAUUUUUUCUCAAGUGCAUAUCAGGAAACAGAAAUGAAUUCUAGAGUUUUUAGCAUUCAAAGAAGAAAGUGCAUAAAGUUUUCCGCUCUCUGUAUGCUAAUCCUUUUCUUCAAAAUAUUAAGGGUGCGAUAUAAUUAAAAAUGUAAAAGGAGUUACCAUAGUAAACUCGAGGUCUUCAUGAACUAACCCACAGACCACAGCAUUUUCCUUUAUUUUGAAGCAUAACUCCAUUUUACCUCGCAAAUGUAGACAAACAUCCUCCAGGUUGUAAGCUGAAGGAAAUACGUAAGAAAGGAAAACAAAUUAAAAGAAGACAUAUGAAAAGUUUUCUCAGAAUCACUCAAGAAAAUUAACUUGAAACAACUAACCUACAUGUGGGAACAGAGUACUUCUACCACAUUAAACUGCAGGGCAACAGAACUCAAGUUUUAGCUAUUCCGGUAUUUAUUUAAUUUACUUUGGAAAUGAAUUAAGCAAUGGCGAAGUUAAGGCAUUUUCAUCACAAGCUGAAGAAAAGCUGAAUAAUGUACCUCAAGGUUUUUGAGUUUCUUUUGGAAGCUCCUUUGAGGCUCUUCAUACAAACUGCUCUUCAGUGGUCAGUCAGCACCUGGAUAUGGAGCGCUCCUGUCAGUUCCUAUAGCAGUUUGGAAGCAACAGUGGCUUUUUCUGCAACACUGAGAAGCCUAAAAUAAAGACAUAUUU